GACGAACGCUGGCGGCGUGCUUAACACAUGCAAGUCGAACGGUGAAGCGCCUUCCUUUUUGGUGGGUGUGGAUGAGUGGCGAACGGGUGAGUAACACGUGAGUAACCUGCCCCCUUCUUCUGGAUAACCGCAUGAAAGUGUGGCUAAUACGGGAUAUUCUGGGUCUGUCGCAUGAUGGGUCUGGGAAAGAUAUUGUUUCGGUGGGGGAUGGGCUCGCGGCCUAUCAGCUUGUUGGUGGGGUGAUGGCCUACCAAGGCGGUGACGGGUAGCCGGCCUGGGAGGGUGGCCGGUCACACUGGGACUGAGACACGGCCCAGACUCCUACGGGAGGCAGCAGUGGGGAAUAGUGCACAGUGGGCGCAAGCCUGAUGCAGCGACGCCGCGUGAGGGAUGGCGGCCUUCGGGUUGUGAACCUCUUUCGCCAGUGAAGCAGGCCUGCCUCGUUUGUGGGUGGGUUGACGGUAGCUGGAUAAGAAGCGCCGGCUAACUACGUG
rnacentral:rRNA from 1 species